GUAUUGGUGGUUCAGUGGUAGAUUUCUUACCUGCUAAGUGGGAGAACUUGAGUCGAUCCCCGGCUAAUACA
rfam:Danio rerio chromosome 4, GRCz11 reference primary assembly.